rnacentral:snoRNA from 1 species
AUUAUUUUUGGCUUAUAAGCAUGAUGAUCAGGUGUCACACGUAUGUGUGACAUGUGCCUCCCUUAAAUCUGAUACAUACAACUGACA